UGGGGAAUAUUGCACAAUGGAGGAAACUCUGAUGCAGCGAUGCCGCGUGAGGGAAGAAGGUUUUCGGAUUGUAAACCUCUGUCUUAAGGGACGAUAAUGACGGUACCUUAGGAGGAAGCUCCGGCUAACUACGUGCCAGCAGCCGCGGUAAUACGUAGGGAGCGAGCGUUGUCCGGAAUUACUGGGUGUAAAGGGAGUGUAGGCGGGAUGGUAAGUUAGGUGUGAAAUGCGGAGGCUCAACCUCCGAGCUGCACUUAAAACUGCUGUUCUUGAGUGAAGUAGAGGUUGGCGGAAUUCCCAGUG
rnacentral:rRNA from 1 species